UACGGAGGAUCCAAGCGUUAUCCGGAAUCAUUGGGUUUAAAGGGUCCGUAGGCGGUUUGGUAAGUCAGUGGUGAAAGCCCAUCGCUCAAGGGUGGAACGGCCAUUGAUACUGCCAGACUUGAAUUAUUAGGAAGUAACUAGAAUAUGUAGUGUAGCGGUGAAAUGCUUAGAGAUUACAUGGAAUACCAAUUGCGAAGGCAGGUUACUACUAAUGGAUUGACGCUGAUGGACGAAAGCGUGGGUAGCGAACAGG
rnacentral:rRNA from 1 species